CCCUGGCACAACUUGAGGUCCUUUCUUGUUUUCCUAUCGCUUGUUAUUUGGGAUAAGGGACCAACUCCCACCUCAGUAAAACCCCUUCAGAAACCAUGAGGAGACAAUACCACAAAAGUAUUUGAGAUCCAUGUGAACCUUGUUUAUCCACUGUGGAUUGGGAUUUACAUUCCAGGGGUAUAAUGAACCCAGAGAUGCAAAGAUGUGGGCGCACAACGUUAUUAAACCCUUGAAGAUUAUCCCAGUCUCACUCAAUAACAGAACCUUUCCUUAAUGACUCUGGCAUGGAUAUGAACUAUAGCCUUUAACAGAGCUCAAUGCCAACAGAAACCAGGAACUCUGCCGAAGCUUUAUCAUUUUUCUUCAGUGGAGGGGGAAAGUGUUUAUCUGGGAAGCAUUUCACAUCACAGACAAUAGGAAACUGUUCAGCUUUCCACAAACAGGCUGGUGUGCAGCUUCCAAGCACUCUCCAAGGAAAACUUUGGAACACUGGCCACGUCUUUCCAGCUUGGAUUUAAUGUAAAGUAGUAGGACCAAAUGUUUUCUGGCUGAAGUGACAAAAGUUAUGCACACGGAACUUGUGCAUUGUAAAGAGCUCCCUGCAAGCUGAAUUACUACACUCAUGCUGAAUCAAGCAGCUCUACUGAUUGCAGCACAGCCCAGAGACCUCUUGUUGAAGGAAAAGAAGUCAGCUCUGGAUGUGGAAAAGCUCUCUGUCCUAACGUGUGAGGUCUCUUUGCCUGACAACGUGAUAGUGAAGGAGAGGGUGCUAGUGAUGGGAGUACAAUCCCCAGGCUCAGAUCAAGUGAAAGAUCCAAAGGCUUACAAGAGGUUUAAGAAGAACUGCAGAAUCCCAAUGGGGAGAUUAUUCCACCCACAUUAAAAAAGAAGGAUGCAUUUUCCCCUGUAUCAGAAGAGAUGGGAUCCAGAAUCUACCUUUCUCAGUUCUUUUUUCCUCAAUUAAUUGUUUCCAAUUAAAGUGUUACAGCUCUUGUAA